rnacentral:rRNA from 1 species
GUUAUAUGGUCAAGUGAAGAAGCGCAUACGGUGGAUGCCUUGGCAGUCAGAGGCGAUGAAAGACGUGGUAGCCUGCGAAAAGCUUCGGGGAGUCGGCAAACAGACUGUGAUCCGGAGAUAUCUGAAUGGGGGAACCCAGCCAUCAUAAGAUGGUUAUCUUGUACUGAAUACAUAGGUGCAAGAGGCGAACCAGGGGAACUGAAACAUCUAAGUACCCUGAGGAAAAGAAAUCAACCGAGAUUCCCUUAGUAGUGGCGAGCGAACGGGGACCAGCCCUUAAGUUGUAUUGAGAUUAGCGGAACGUUCUGGAAAGGACGGCCAUAGUGGGUGAUAGCCCUGUACGCGAAAAUCCCUUUGCAAUGAAAUCGAGUAGGACGGGGCACGAGAAACCUUGUCUGAAUAUGGGGGGACCAUCCUCCAAGGCUAAAUACUACUGACUGACCGAUAGUGAACCAGUACCGUGAGGGAAAGGCGAAAAGAACCGCGGAGAGCGGAGUGAAAUAGAUCCUGAAACCGUAUGCGUACAAGCAGUGGGAGCCCACUUUGUUGGGUGACUGCGUACCUUUUGUAUAAUGGGUCAGCGACUUAUUUUCAGUGGCGAGCUUAACCGAAUAGGGGAGGCGUAGCGAAAGCGAGUCUUAAUAGGGCGUCUAGUCGCUGGGAAUAGACCCGAAACCGGGCGAUCUAUCCAUGGGCAGGUUGAAGGUUGGGUAACACUAACUGGAGGACCGAACCGACUACCGUUGAAAAGUUAGCGGAUGACCUGUGGAUCGGAGUGAAAGGCUAAUCAAGCUCGGAGAUAGCUGGUUCUCCUCGAAAGCUAUUUAGGUAGCGCCUCAUGUAUCACUGUAGGGGGUAGAGCACUGUUUCGGCUAGGGGGUCAUCCCGACUUACCAAACCGAUGCAAACUCCGAAUACCUACAAGUGCCGAGCAUGGGAGACACACGGCGGGUGCUAACGUCCGUCGUGAAAAGGGAAACAACCCAGACCGUCAGCUAAGGUCCCAAAGUCAUGGUUAAGUGGGAAACGAUGUGGGAAGGCUUAGACAGCUAGGAGGUUGGCUUAGAAGCAGCCACCCUUUAAAGAAAGCGUAAUAGCUCACUAGUCGAGUCGGCCUGCGCGGAAGAUGUAACGGGGCUCAAACCAUGCACCGAAGCUACGGGUAUCAUCUUAGGAUGAUGCGGUAGAGGAGCGUUCUGUAAGCCUGUGAAGGUGAGUUGAGAAGCUUGCUGGAGGUAUCAGAAGUGCGAAUGCUGACAUGAGUAACGACAAUGGGUGUGAAAAACACCCACGCCGAAAGACCAAGGUUUCCUGCGCAACGUUAAUCGACGCAGGGUUAGUCGGUCCCUAAGGCGAGGCUGAAAAGCGUAGUCGAUGGAAAACAGGUUAAUAUUCCUGUACUUCUGGUUAUUGCGAUGGAGGGACGGAGAAGGCUAGGCCAGCCUGGCGUUGGUAGUCCAGGUUUAAGGUGGUAGGCUGAGAUCUUAGGUAAAUCCGGGAUCUUAAGGCCGAGAGCUGAUGACGAGUGUUCUUUUAGAACACGAAGUGGUUGAUGCCAUGCUUCCAAGAAAAGCUUCUAAGCUUCAGGUAACCAGGAACCGUACCCCAAACCGACACAGGUGGUUGGGUAGAGAAUACCAAGGCGCUUGAGAGAACUCGGGUGAAGGAACUAGGCAAAAUGGCACCGUAACUUCGGGAGAAGGUGCGCCGGUGGAGGUGAAGCAUUUACUGCGUAAGCCCCUGCCGGUCGAAGAUACCAGGCCGCUGCGACUGUUUAUUAAAAACACAGCACUCUGCAAACACGAAAGUGGACGUAUAGGGUGUGACGCCUGCCCGGUGCCGGAAGGUUAAUUGAUGGGGUUAGCGCAAGCGAAGCUCUUGAUCGAAGCCCCGGUAAACGGCGGCCGUAACUAUAACGGUCCUAAGGUAGCGAAAUUCCUUGUCGGGUAAGUUCCGACCUGCACGAAUGGCGUAACGAUGGCGGCGCUGUCUCCACCCGAGACUCAGUGAAAUUGAAAUCGCUGUGAAGAUGCAGUGUAUCCGCGGCUAGACGGAAAGACCCCGUGAACCUUUACUAUAGCUUUGCACUGGACUUUGAAUUUGCUUGUGUAGGAUAGGUGGGAGGCUUUGAAGCGUGGACGCCAGUCUGCGUGGAGCCAACCUUGAAAUACCACCCUGGCAACUUUGAGGUUCUAACUCAGGUCCGUUAUCCGGAUCGAGGACAGUGUAUGGUGGGUAGUUUGACUGGGGCGGUCUCCUCCUAAAGAGUAACGGAGGAGUACGAAGGUGCGCUCAGACCGGUCGGAAAUCGGUCGUAGAGUAUAAAGGCAAAAGCGCGCUUGACUGCGAGACAGACACGUCGAGCAGGUACGAAAGUAGGUCUUAGUGAUCCGGUGGUUCUGUAUGGAAGGGCCAUCGCUCAACGGAUAAAAGGUACUCCGGGGAUAACAGGCUGAUACCGCCCAAGAGUUCAUAUCGACGGCGGUGUUUGGCACCUCGAUGUCGGCUCAUCACAUCCUGGGGCUGAAGCCGGUCCCAAGGGUAUGGCUGUUCGCCAUUUAAAGUGGUACGCGAGCUGGGUUUAGAACGUCGUGAGACAGUUCGGUCCCUAUCUGCCGUGGACGUUUGAGAUUUGAGAGGGGCUGCUCCUAGUACGAGAGGACCGGAGUGGACGAACCUCUGGUGUUCCGGUUGUCACGCCAGUGGCAUUGCCGGGUAGCUAUGUUCGGAAAAGAUAACCGCUGAAAGCAUCUAAGCGGGAAACUUGCCUCAAGAUGAGAUCUCACUGGAACCUUGAGUUCCCUAAAGGGCCGUCGAAGACUACGACGUUGAUAGGUUGGGUGUGUAAGCGCUGUGAGGCGUUGAGCUAACCAAUACUAAUUGCCCGUGAGGCUUGACCAUAUAACACCCAAGCAAUU